rnacentral:pre_miRNA from 1 species
AAUGGAAUUGCUGGGUCAUAUGGUAGCUCUAUUUUUAGUUUUCUGAGUAACUACCACACUGUUUUCCAAAAUGGCUGUACCAUUUUACACUCUCACCAGCAAU